GGCCUGUAGAAAAGUUAUUAUAGGUUUAGCCUGCCCGGUGAAAUUUUUAACGGCCGCAGUAUUUUAACUGUGCAAAGGUAGCGUAAUCAUUUGUCUUUUAAUAGGGGACUGGUAUGAAUGGUUAAACGAGGACAAAACUGUCUCUUUUAAAUUAUUUGAAGUUGUUUCUAGGUGCAGAAGCCUAAAUAGUAAUAAAAGACGAGAAGACCCUAUGUGCUUUAAUUUUAUUUUAUUUGAGAAUAAUAGUAAAAAUUUUUAUUGGGAAAAUAAAGGAGGAAAAGAAUAAUCCUGUUUAUUACAUUAUCUAAUAGAAGAUUACUGAGGAAAAUAGUAACCGUAGGGAUAACAGACUGAUUUCUUUUGAGAGUACACAUUAACAAAGAAGAUUAGCACCUCGAUGUUGGCUUAGAGAUAUUACUAUGAAGCAGAAAUCUAGUAUAUGGGCUUGUUCAGCCUUUAAAUUUCU
rnacentral:rRNA from 1 species